GACGAACGCUGGCGGCGUGCUUAACACAUGCAAGUCGAACGGAAAGGCCCCGCUUUUGUGGGGUGCUCGAGUGGCGAACGGGUGAGUAACACGUGAGUAACCUGCCCUUGACUUUGGGAUAACUUCAGGAAACUGGGGCUAAUACCGGAUAGGAGCUCCUGCUGCAUGGUGGGGGUUGGAAAGUUUCGGCUGUUGGGGAUGGAUUCGCGGCUUAUGCGCUUGUUGGUGUGGUAGUGGCUUACCAAGGCUUUGACGGGUAGCCGGCCUGAGAGGGUUACCGGCCACAUUGGGACUGAGAUACGGCGCAGAAUCCUACGGGAGGCAGCAGUGGGAAAUAUGACACAAUGGGCGGAAGCGUGAGGCAGCAACGUCGGGUGCGGGAUGACGGCCUUCGGGUUGUAAACCGCUUUCGACUGUGACGAAGAGUGAGUGACGGUAAUGGGUAAAGAAGCACCGGCUAACUACGUG
rnacentral:rRNA from 1 species